rnacentral:rRNA from 1 species
CCAGCCGCCGCGGUAAUACGGAGGGUGCAAGCGUUAAUCGGAAUUACUGGGCGUAAAGCGCACGCAGGCGGUUUGUUAAGUCAGAUGUGAAAUCCCCGAGCUUAACUUGGGAACUGCAUUUGAAACUGGCAAGCUAGAGACUUGUAGAGGGGGGUAGAAUUCCAGGUGUAGCGGUGAAAUGCGUAGAGAUCUGGAGGAAUACCGGUGGCGAAGGCGGCCCCCUGGGCAAAGACUAACGCUCAGGUGCGAAAGCGUGGGGAGCAUACAGGAUUAGAUACCCCGGUAGUCCCUGUCUCUUAUA